GACGAACGCUGGCGGCGUGCUUAACACAUGCAAGUCGAACGGAAAGGCCCUGCUUUUGUGGGGUGCUCGAGUGGCGAACGGGUGAGUAACACGUGAGUAACCUGCCCUUGACUUUGGGAUAACUUCAGGAAACUGGGGCUAAUACCGGAUAGGAGCUCCUGCUGCAUGGUGGGGGUUGGAAAGUUUCGGCGGUUGGGGCUGGACUCGCGGCUUAUCAGCUUGUUGGUGGGGUAGUGGCUUACCAAGGCUUUGACGGGUAGCCGGCCUGAGAGGGUGACCGGCCACAUUGGGACUGCGGUACGGCCCAGACUCCUACGGGAGGCAGCAGUGGGGAAUAUUGCAGAAUGGGCGGAAGCCUGAUGCAGCAACGCCGCGUGCGGGAUGACGGCCUUCGGGUUGUAAACCGCUUUCGCCUGUGACGAAGCGUGAGUGACGGUAAUGGGUAAAGAAGCACCGGCUAACUACGUG
rnacentral:rRNA from 1 species